rnacentral:rRNA from 1 species
AUACGGAGGGUGCAAGCGUUAAUCGGAAUUACAGGGCGUAAAGCGCGCGUAGGCGGUUUGGUAAGUCGGAUGUGAAAGCCCCGGGCUCAACCUGGGAAUUGCAUUCGAUACUGCCAGACUAGAGUAUGGUAGAGGGAAGUGGAAUUCCGGGUGUAGCGGUGAAAUGCGUAGAUAUCCGGAGGAACACCAGUGGCGAAGGCGACUUCCUGGACCAAUACUGACGCUGAGGUGCGAAAGCGUGGGGAGCAAACAGGAUUAGAAACCCUAGUAGUCC